rnacentral:rRNA from 1 species
CCUACGGGAGGCAGCAGUGGGGGAUAUUGCACAAUGGGCGAAACCCUGAUGCAGCGACGCCGCGUGGGUGAAGAAGUAUUUCGGUAUGUAAAGCCCUAUCAGCAGGGAAGAAGAAAUGACGGUACCUGAGUAAGAAGCACCGGCUAAAUACGUGCCAGCAGCCGCGGUAAUACGUAUGGUGCAAGCGUUAUCCGGAUUUACUGGGUGGAAAGGGAGCGCAGGCGGCACGGCAAGCCUGAUGUGAAAGCCCGCGGCCCAACCGCGGGACUGCAUUGGGAACUACCGGGCUGGAGUGCCGGAGAGGUAGGCGGAAUUCCUAGUGUAGCGGUGAAAUGCGUAGAUAUUAGGAGGAACACCAGUGGCGAAGGCGGCCUACUGGACGGUGACUGACGCUGAGGCUCGAAAGCGUGGGGAGCAAACAGGAUUAGAUACCCCAGUAGUC